rnacentral:ncRNA from 1 species
AUCGUACAGUUUACUUGGAUAACUGUGGUAAUUCUAGAGCUAAUACAUGCGAGAAGCGCCGACCUCGCGGGAGGCGUGCAUUUAUCAGACCAAAAACCGGCCGCGUCUUCGGGCGCGUUCGCCUUGGUGACUCUGGAUAACUUUGCGGAUCGCACGGUCUAGCACCGGCGACGGAUCAUUCAAGUGUCUGCCCUAUCAACUUUCGUCGGUACGGUAUUUGCCUACCGAGGUUCUUACGGGUGACGGGGAAUCAGGGUUCGAUUCCGGAGAGGGAGCCUGAGAAACGGCUACCACAUCCAAGGAAGGCAGCAGGCGCGCAAAUUACCCAUUCCCGACGCGGGGAGGUAGUGACGAAAAAUAACAAUGCAGGACUCGUUCGAGGCCCUGUAAUUGGAAUGAGUACACUUUAAAAGCUUUAACGAGUAUCCAUUGGAGGGCAAGUCUGGUGCCAGCAGCCGCGGUAAUUCCAGCUCCAAAAGUAUAUAUUUAAGUUGUUGCGGUUAAAAAGCUCGUAGUUGGAUUUUGGGCGCAGGCGGCCGGUCCGUCGCAAGGCGUGUACUGGACGUCCUGGCCUUCCCUCCGGUUCUCCGCCGGUGCUCUUGACUGAGUGUCGGCGGCGGCCGGAACGUUUACUUUGAAAAAAUUAGAGUGUUCUAAGCAGGCUCUCGAGCCUGGAUAAUGGUGCAUGGAAUAAUGGAAUAGGACCUCGGUUCUAUUUUGUUGGUUUUCGGAGCGCGAGGUAAUGAUUAAGAGGGACAGACGGGGGCAUUCGUACUGUGCCGUUAGAGGUGAAAUUCUUGGAUCGGCGCAAGACGAACGACUGCGAAAGCAUUUGCCAAGAAUGUUUUCUUUAAUCAAGAGCGAAAGUCAGAGGUUCGAAGACGAUCAGAUACCGUCCUAGUUCUGACUAUAAACGAUGCCAACUAGCGAUCGGGGGGCGUUACAUUGACGACCCCUCCGGCAGCUUACGGGAAACCAAAGUCUUUGGGUUCCGGGGGAAGUAUGGUUGCAAAGCUGAAACUUAAAGGAAUUGACGGAAGGGCACCACCAGGAGUGGAGCCUGCGGCUUAAUUUGACUCAACACGGGAAAUCUCACCCGGCCCGGACACAGUGAGGAUUGACAGAUUGAGAGCUCUUUCUUGAUUCUG